rnacentral:rRNA from 1 species
CCUACGGGAGGCAGCAGUGGGGAAUUUUCCGCAAUGGGCGAAAGCCUGACGGAGCAACGCCGCGUGAGGGAUGAAGGCCUCUGGGCUGUAAACCUCUUUUCUCAAGGAAGAAGAUCUGACGGUACUUGAGGAAUAAGCCACGGCUAAUUCCGCGCCAGCAGCCGCGGUAAUACGGGAGUGGCAAGCGUUAUCCGGAAUUAUUGGGCGUAAAGCGUCCGCAGGCGGCCCUUCUAGUCUGCUGUUAAAAAGUGGAGCUUAACUCCAUCAUGGCAGUGGAAACUGUUGGGCUUGAGUGUGGUAGGGGCAGAGGGAAUUCCCGGUGUAGCGGUGAAAUGCGUAGAUAUCGGGAAGAACACCAGUGGCGAAGGCGCUCUGCUGGGCCAUAACUGACGCUCAUGGACGAAAGCCAGGGGAGCGAAAGGGAUUAGAUACCCCUGUAGUCCUGGCCGUAAACGAUGAACACUAGGUGUCGGGGGAAUCGACCCCCUCGGUGUCGUAGCCAACGCGUUAAGUGUUCCGCCUGGGGAGUACGCACGCAAGUGUGAAACUCAAAGGAAUUGACGG